GUUGACACGACCAGAGUACAUUCGGAGAUGAACUCGGUCCGAGUUUUAAGUUCGUUUACACGUUCCGAGUGUACUCGGUCCGAAGUGAAAUGGCGGAUGUCGUGCUUAAAGGGAUACGUGUUGUGGCUGUUGCGGGAGCUGGACAGUUGUACCAAUAAUGAGAAUAGACGAAUAAAGAGGAAGAGGAGGUACUCGGACCGAGUAUUUCGGUUGUCGUCCGAGUUUACUCUUCUCGGAUGAAACGGUCCGAGUGUACUCCGAUCGUGUCGACCUAACCUAAUAUACGCGUAUCUUACGGGUGAGGUCGGAAAUCCGGUGAAGACGCCGACAUUAUCCGAGUACUGUAGAUAAGGACGGAAAUAGAAAGUAAUUUUUGUGGUUUCGGUCUUUAUCCGGAUGGUCUCCGCCUUAACCCGUAAGAAGCGGACCGGGUUGAAAAUUAUUGAUAAAACCCUUAAACACGACGGCUACCCCGCACCGCAUUAAGGCCAAAAUAAUCGGACGGCGAAAUUUAUCGCCUAUCGAGGCGGUCACGCACCAUCGGUUUUGUCGCCCGUUUUGCCUCGACAGUCUUAAAAGGCGAGAAGGACGGUGUGUCGGAUCAAAAUGACCUACUUAGCGUCCGCGUACGGUCUCCCACGUUAGGGGUUGGC
rnacentral:lncRNA from 1 species